rnacentral:rRNA from 1 species
UACGGAGGUGCAAGCGUUGUUCGGAAUCACUGGGCGUAAAGGGCGCGCAGGCGGCCUGAUUAGUCAGAUGUGAAAGCCCACGGCUUAACUGUGGAAGUGCAUUUGAAACUGUCAGGCUUGAGUACCAGAGGGGAAAGUGGAAUUCCCGGUGUAGAGGUGAAAUUCGUAGAUAUCGGGAGGAAUACCGGUGGCGAAGGCGACUUUCUGGCUGGAUACUGACGCUGAGGCGCGAAAGCGUUGGGGAGGCAAACAGGAUUAGAUACCCGCGUA